rnacentral:lncRNA from 1 species
AGCCUCAGGGCAUGGACAGGGGCUGGCUCUGGAGGUGAGAGGGCAGCAAAGGAUACCCUCCUCCAAAGUCGAACGAAUUCUUCUUCCACCAGGUUUUCAUACUCAGAAAAAGAAUCUCAAGAUGAAAAAAGUUGCUCCAACAUUAAUAGAAUCAACCCAAUAUACUUAAAUAGGGCCACGGAGUUCUCUUCUCUCCUCACCAGUUUGGAAUUAUGCAGCGUUAGACACCCCAUUGAAGCACCUUCCUCUGAUUGGAUGAAGACGUGGAGGUGGAAGCCUGGCAAGAUAGAUGCUUUGUUUAAAACAGUCAAGCUGCAAGAAAAAACCCACGAUCCCUCAACUUGGUGAGUCACCUGUUGCGCUGUAACUAGAGAUCAAGAAAGAAACUUACUUCCCAGCCCAAGGUAAGACUCAGGAUUGGUCCAGGAAAAUCACAGUGGUCUCAGUUCCCUUGCAGAGGACUGGGUCAAGCUUGGGCUGGACUGGACAUGGCCAAUGGGAUCUGAGAAUAAGUCUUCACUAAUAUAAACUGAUGCAUAAGCAAAAAUACCUCUCUUACUGGCUGGACUCUGUCACGUUGACAAUAGGACAGCUGGAAUUACCGAAGCCACCUGAGGCCACAAACCAUGCUGAAAACGGCCAAGUGGGAAGGCCUGGAUCCUGGAUCGCCUUUCUAAGUCACUGGAUUGACCAAGCCAGGAAUUGUCCUUUUGUUGUUCUUUCUAUGUCGGGGGGUGGGGGUGAUUUUUUCCAUUUCUUUAAGCUACUUGUUGAGAUUUGUGUUUCCAGGAGCUCGAAGCAUCCAGAUGCUGCAGUCCUUCGAUCCCUGCCACCUACCAGAGGAAUGCACCCCUCGAUGUAUAUGAGGAUAUGCAUGGACUGGAGUUCAUCGCCAUAGAGACGAUGACUGUCAAGUUCUAUUUAUAUUACGGAGACGGUAGGACCCACUAUUCUCCUUAUUACUGAGCUUCAGCUAUGUGCACUCUCUAAGGGAAGGUCUCCAGAAUGCCAUCCUUCCCCAACACUCCCCGAGGACAGCCUGCCCCUGUCACUCAGCUCCGUGCCCCCCUGGCACUUUCAUCUUUGGGCCACAGCGGUCUGUAAGCAUGGGUUCUGGUGCAGCCUAACCCUGGAGGCCACGUUCUG